rnacentral:rRNA from 1 species
GAUGAACGCUGGCGGCGUGCCUAAUACAUGCAAGUCGAGCGAAUGGAUUAAGAGCUUGCUCUUAUGAAGUUAGCGGCGGACGGGUGAGUAACACGUGGGUAACCUGCCCAUAAGACUGGGAUAACUCCGGGAAACCGGGGCUAAUACCGGAUACUCCGAGCGGACCGCAUGAUCCGGUCGGGAAAGCUCCGACGGUCUGGGAUGGGCCCGCGGCCUAUCAGCUUGUUGGUGGGGGAACGGCCCACCAGGGCGACGACGGGUAGCUGGUCUGAGAGGACGGCCAGCCAAACUGGGACUGAGACACGGCCCAGACUCCUACUGGAGGCAGAAGUGGGGAAUCUUGCGCCAAUGCGCGAAAGCGUGACGCAGCGACGCCGCGUGGGGGAUGAAGGCCCUCGGGUUGUAAACCCCUUUCGCCAGGGACGAAGCGGAAGUGACGGUACCUGGAGAAGAAGUCCCGGCUAACUACGUGCCAGCCGCCGCGGUAA